rnacentral:rRNA from 1 species
CGGUGUUUAACUGGCGUGAUGUGGGACGUCCUACCGGUGGGCUUAGCCUCGCGAGGGGCGGCCCAACUAAUAUCCCGUCGCGGUGCUCUUUACUGAGUGUCGAGUCGGGCCGGUACGGUUACUUUGAACAAAUUAGAGUGCUUAAAGCAGGCUAUCCUCGCCUGAAUACUGCGUGCAUGGAAUAAUGGAAUAGGACCUCGGUUCUAUUUUGUUGGUUUUCGGAACCCCGAGGUAAUGAUUAAUAGGGACAGAUGGGGGCAUUCGUAUUGCGACGUUAGAGGUGAAAUUCUUGGAUCGUCGCAAGACGGACAGAAGCGAAAGCAUUUGCCAAAAAUGUUUUCAUUAAUCAAGAACGAAAGUUAGAGGUUCGAAGGCGAUCAGAUACCGCCCUAGUUCUAACCAUAAACGAUGCCAGCUAGCGAUCCGCCGAAGUUCCUCCGAUGACUCGGCGGGGCAGCUUCCGGGAAACCAAAGCUUUUGGGUUCCGGGGGAAGUAUGGUUGCAAAGCUGAAACUUAAAGGAAUUGACGGAAGGGCACCACCAGGAGUGGAGCCUGCGGCUUAAUUUGACUCAACACGGGAAACCUCACCAGGCCCAGACACCGGAAGGAUUGACAGAUUGAUAGCUCUUUCUUGAUUCGGUGGGUGGUGGUGCAUGGCCGUUCUUAGUUGGUGGAGCGAUUUGUCUGGUUAAUUCCGAUAACGAACGAGACUCUAGCCUGCUAAAUAGGCGUACCUUAUGGUAUCGCGAAGGCCCCCGGCUUCGGCCGGUGGGUUUUUACUACCAACGUACAAACAAAUCUUCUUAGAGGGACAGGCGG